AAUUUUAUACACAUGAAAACACGCGAGCCGCUGAAUAUAAAAAAGAGACCUCCCCUCUCCCCCCCAAUUGCUGCGCCGCUUGUGUAGAAUUUCAUUGUCGAUCCUUUCCUCCAUUCCCUCAAGUCGGCCGAGAUCCGGCUACUCGUCGGAUUUCGCCCUCGUACGACCUGUCCACCACCUGCUCCGACGAACCAUGAAAGGCACCUGCACGUUGCUCGCCUCUGUCCUCGCAGCCUCGACCAUGGCUUUCUCCUCGUCUUCGUCGUCCUCUAGUGGAGAUCGCGACCUCGCUCUUUAUCCUCCUUCUCUAGAGGGCUUCGUUUCGGAUUCUCGUGCGAACAGAGGUUGCGGCUCGGAUUCGUCAUCGGAGAAGGAGAAGUUUGCGCCGAGGUUCGAUGGAUUGAAAUUCAUUGAGACUUUGGUAACUGCUCAUAGAUAAUACAAUCCUUAACCCUUAGGGGGGACCGUUCUCGUUCUUCGCUUCGUCUCUUUAAUCGUCGUCGUCUUUUUUUCUUUUUUGUUAUCAAGAUUUUGCGUAUCGUAUUCAGUUCCAGUAUGAUUAUUAGAAAGAGAGAUUUUGUUUUUUUUACAAUUUGUGGAGUGAUUUUACUUGACUUCGAGAAGUCAUGGAAAAAAGGAAAAUCAAGAGAUUUUGUGCGAGUUGCUCUUGUCUGUAACGGAGUUUGAAUUGAAAUUCAUUAUUGAAUGAUCUGUGUGUGUGAGAAUAUGAAGAAUUUUCUUUAGAAGCUUUUAUUUUUAAAUUGAUGGAGUAAAAAUGAUCGGAUCGUGGAUUUGUAAA